rnacentral:rRNA from 1 species
UACGAAGGGUGCAAACGUUGCUCGGAAUUAUUGGGCGUAAAGCGCGCGCAGGCGGCCUCGCGCGCCCGACGUGAAAGCCCCCGGCUUAACCGGGGAGGGUCGUUGGGGACGGCGGGGCUUGAGGGCGGGAGAGGUCGGUGGAAUUCCCGGUGUAGUGGUGAAAUGCGUAGAGAUCGGGAGGAACACCUGUGGCGAAGGCGGCCGACUGGGCCGACCCUGACGCUGAGGCGCGAAGGCGUGGGGAGCGAACGGG